rnacentral:rRNA from 1 species
UACGAAGGGGGCUAGUGUUGCUCGGAAUCACUGGGCGUAAAGCGCACGUAGGCGGAUUGCUAAGUCAGGGGUGAAAUCCUGGAGCUCAACUCCAGAACUGCCUUUGAUACUGGCGAUCUUGAGUCCGGGAGAGGUGAGUGGAACUGCGAGUGUAGAGGUGAAAUUCGUAGAUAUCAGGAGGAACACCGGUGGCGAAGGCGGGUCUCUGGGCCGAUACUGACGCUGAGGAGCGAAAGCGUGGGGAGCGAACAGG